GGUUAAGCGACUAAGCGUACACGGUGGAUGCCCUGGCAGUCAGAGGCGAUGAAGGGCGUGCUAAUCUGCGAUAAGCGCCGGUAAGGUGAUAUGAACCGUUAUAACCGGCGAUACCCGAAUGGGGAAACCCAGUGUGAUUCGUCACACUAUCAUUAACUGAAUCCAUAGGUUAAUGAGGCGAACCGGGGGAACUGAAACAUCUAAGUACC
rnacentral:rRNA from 3 species